UUGGAGGGCAAGUCUGGUGCCAGCAGCCGCGGUAAUUCCAGCUCCAAUAGCGUAUAUUAAAGUUGUUGCAGUUAAAAAGCUCGUAGUUGAAUUUCGGGGUUAGUAGGUUGGUCAUGCCUCUGGUAUGUACUGGUCUCACUGAUUCCUCCUUCCUUAUGAACCGUAAUGCCAUUAAUUUGGUGUUGCGGGGAAUUUGGACUGUUACUUUGAAAAAAUUGAGUGUUUAAAGCAAGCUAACGCUUGAAUACAUUAGCAUGGAAUAAUGAAAUAGGACG
rnacentral:rRNA from 1 species